rnacentral:snRNA from 1 species
CGACAACCACUUCCAAGAAGACU